GACGAACGCUGGCGGCGUGCUUAACACAUGCAAGUCGAACGGAAAGGCCCCUUUGGGGGUACUCGAGUGGCGAACGGUUGAGUAACACGUGAGUAACCUGCCCUUGACUUCGGGAUAACUUCAGGAACCUGGGGCUAAUACCGGAUAGGAAUCCUUGCUGCAUGGUGGGGGUUGGGAAGCUUCGGCGGUUUUGGAUGGACUCGCGGCUUAUCAGCUUGUUGGUGGGGUAGUGGCUUACCAAGGCUUUGACGGGUAGCCGGCCUGAGAGGGCGACCGGCCACACUGGGACUGAGAGACGGCCCAGACUCCUACGGGAGGCAGCAGGGGGGAAGAUUGCACAAUGGGCGGCAGCCUGAUGCAGCAACGCCGCGUGCGGGAUGACGGCUUUCGGGGUGUAAACCGCUUUCAGCAGGGGCGAAGCUUGUGGUGACGGUACCUGCAGAAGAAGCACCGGCUAACUACGUG
rnacentral:rRNA from 1 species